GAAAUGCGAUAAGUAGUGUGAAUUGCAGAAUUCAGUGAAUCAUCGAAUCUUUGAACGCACAUUGCGCCCUUUGGUAUUCCUUAGGGCAUGCCUGUUCGAGCGUCAUCUAAACCUUCAAGCCCUGCUUGGUGUUGGGUGCCUGUCCCGUCUCCGCGCGUGGACUCGCCCCAAAGUGAUUGGCAGCCGGCGUACUGGUCCCGGAGCGCAGCACAUGUCGCGCAAACGAGUGCCUUGGUACGGCGGCGUCCAUAAGCCCCUCUCUCACGCUCUUGACCUCGGAUCAGGUAGGGAUACCCGCUGAACUUAAGC
rnacentral:misc_RNA from 1 species